ACGGAAGGCAGCAGUGGGGAAUAUUGCACAAUGGGGGAAACCCUGAUGCAGCAACGCCGCGUGAAGGAAGACGGUCUUCGGAUUGUAAACUUUUGUUCUUAGUGACGAUAAUGACGGUAGCUAAGGAGAAAGCCACGGCUAACUACGUGCCAGCAGCCGCGGUAAUACGUAGGUGGCAAGCGUUGUCCGGAAUUACUGGGUGUAAAGGGAGCGCAGGCGGGAAAUCAAGUUGGAUGUGAAAUGUCGGGGCUUAACCCCGGAACUGCAUCCAAAACUGAUGUUCUUGAGUGAAGUAGAGGUAGGCGGAAUUCCGAGUGUAGCGGUGAAAUGCGUAGAUAUUCGGAGGAACACCAGUGGCGAAGGCGGCCUACUGGGCUUUAACUGACGCUGAGGCUCGAAAGUGUGGGGAGCAAACAGGAUUAGAUACCCUGGUA
rnacentral:rRNA from 1 species